rnacentral:rRNA from 1 species
GACGAACGCUGGCGGCGUGCCUAAUACAUGCAAGUUGAGCGCUGAAGGUUGGUACUUGUACCAACUGGAUGAGCAGCGAACGGGUGAGUAACGCGUGGGGAAUCUGCCUUUGAGCGGGGGACAACAUUUGGAAACGAAUGCUAAUACCGCAUAAAAACUUUAAACACAAGUUUUAAGUUUGAAAGAUGCAAUUGCAUCACUCAAAGAUGAUCCCGCGUUGCAUUAGCUAGUUGGUGAGGUAAAGGCUCACCAAGGCGAUGAUACAUAGCCGACCUGAGAGGGUGAUCGGCCACAUUGGGACUGAGACACGGCCCAAACUCCUACGGGAGGCAGCAGUAGGGAAUCUUCGGCAAUGGACGAAAGUCUGACCGAGCAACGCCGCGUGAGUGAAGAAGGUUUUCGGAUCGUAAAACUCUGUUGGUAGAGAAGAACGUUGGUGAGAGUGGAAAGCUCAUCAAGUGACGGUAACUACCCAGAAAGGGACGGCUAACUACGUGCCAGCAGCCGCGGUAAUACGUAGGUCCCGAGCGUUGUCCGGAUUUAUUGGGCGUAAAGCGAGCGCAGGUGGUUUAUUAAGUCUGGUGUAAAAGGCAGUGGCUCAACCAUUGUAUGCAUUGGAAACUGGUAGACUUGAGUGCAGGAGAGGAGAGUGGAAUUCCAUGUGUAGCGGUGAAAUGCGUAGAUAUAUGGGGGAACACCGGUGGCGAAAGCGGCUCUCUGGCCUGUAACUGACACUGAGGCUCGAAAGCGUGGGGAGCAAACAGG